ACGGCUAUGGCGGAGAGGUUCCACCCGUUCCCAUCCCGAACACGGUAGUUAAGCUCUCCUGCGCCGAUGAUAUUGCAAGGGGGACUUUGUAAGAAAGCAAGUCGUUGCCG
rnacentral:rRNA from 1 species